rnacentral:rRNA from 1 species
UACGGAGGAUCCGAGCGUUAUCCGGAUUUAUUGGGUUUAAAGGGUGCGUAGGCGGGAUAUUAAGUCAGUGGUGAAAGUUUGCGGCUCAACCGUAAAAUUGCCAUUGAUACUGGUAUUCUUGAGUACAUUUGAGGUAGGCGGAAUGUGGUGUGUAGCGGUGAAAUGCAUAGAUAUACCACAGAACACCGAUUGCGAAGGCGGCCUACUAAACCGUGACUGACGCUGAUGCGCGAAAGCGUGGGUAUCAAACAGG